rnacentral:rRNA from 1 species
GAUGAACGCUGGCGGCGUGCCUAAUACAUGCAAGUCGAGCGAACAGAUAAGGAGCUUGCUCCUUUGACGUUAGCGGCGGACGGGUGAGUAACACGUGGAUAACCUACCUAUAAGACUGGGAUAACUUCGGGAAACCGGAGCUAAUACCGGAUAACAUAUUGAACCGCAUGGUUCAAUAGUGAAAGGCGGCUUUGCUGUCACUUAUAGAUGGAUCCGCGCCGUAUUAGCUAGUUGGUAAGGUAACGGCUUACCAAGGCAACGAUACGUAGCCGACCUGAGAGGGUGAUCGGCCACACUGGAACUGAGACACGGUCCAGACUCCUACGGGAGGCAGCAGUAGGGAAUCUUCCGCAAUGGGCGAAAGCCUGACGGAGCAACGCCGCGUGAGUGAUGAAGGUCUUCGGAUCGUAAAACUCUGUUAUCAGGGAAGAACAAAUGUGUAAGUAACUGUGCACAUCUUGACGGUACCUGAUCAGAAAGCCACGGCUAACUA